GACGAGAAGCUCCGCGUUAGGUGGGGCUCAGGCAAGAGGCAAGAGUUAAGACUAAGGAAAUAGCCAGAUAAGGAAGGGCUUAUAAACCACAUGAAGAAGUGUGGAUUUUAUUCUGAAGGCAGUGGGAAGCCACUAAAGAAGAGAAGAAAAGUAGUAGCAUACCAAUGUUGAUUUUAGAAGACGAGGCAGCAAAGAACCCAUGGUCAAGUGCAGCUCUCAGAGACAAAGCUGUUUUCAAAGACCAGCUGAAUUGUAGCUCAGAAGAAAAAAAUGGAAAAGACAAGUAAACAUCCAGAAAUCUGGAAAGAAGAAAGAAAAUCUCAUGAAUGUAACUCUGACCUCAGCUGACUCAAAUAAAGGUGUUCAUUACCGAACGAUUAGAACCACCUACACAGGACAAAGUGAAUUUCUGAUCAACAGGUAGUAAUAGCAAACCCCCCUGAAAAGCUAAGAAGCAUUAGAGUGGAUUAUCCAUGAAGAGAGGAUUAGAAAAAGAGAGACUUGGAAUCCAGCAAACGAAACCCCAGCGGGCCAGCUGGCUAAUGUUUGGGAUAAUAAUUCCAAACGUAUUAAAAUAAAUUGUAAAAGAGAAAAGGCCGAAGGCAAUAAAAGCAAGCUUCACACGAUACUGUAUAUUGUGGAUAAAAUCAUGCACAUUCGCAAUAAUCACUUCCCCAGAGGCAAGCAAUACAGGCACCACCAGCAGAGCUGGGGAGAAUUUCAAGACACAAAGCCCGCUGUAUGCCAACAAGAGUUGCUGCAAGUGGGAGGACUUACAACAGAGUCUGCCUAAUAGCCACCGUUCUGGUCCGUUUUUUCCCUGUGGCCUGAGCACUGUCUCAUGCACGAUGUUGAAAUGGGAACGCAAUAGCAGGGUAGGCAACUUCACUCCUCCGCAGUCUUAAAUGCGGUAUUGCUCAAGGAUCUUAUUCCCCUAAGCAGGGAGAGAAAUGCCUUUUCUUUUUUCUCACUUAUGGAGUUUCUCCAGCGACACAGAUCAGCUCUUGUUGGUCUUGUUCACCUCAGCGAGUAGAAUUAAGAAGCUGACAGGAGCGUCGAGCCAUCCAUUUUUGUUUUUACCAUAUCCAGAGCCUGCCACCAUUUUUUAUCUCGAGUAUCUGCUAUUUUCUGGCCCGUUUGAGGUGGCCUUGUUACUUCUAGGAAAUCUGUAAAUGCUAUUUAUUGAAAUGCUCCCCAUAAUUUUUCCAUUUUUAGUUUAGGCCAAUGAAAUAUAACAACUGGCUUAAGCUAGGGGAAAAUCGUAGGGCUAAAUGUUUCUGUAAUUAUAGGCUCCUUCUUAAAUGUUUUUUUGUGAAGUCUGAAAUUCCUUUAUCCUUAAUUUUUGAGUAACUGAUGGAGUCCUUACUGAGGACUUCCCUUCCUGCGUUGAUUUGAGAGUGUGUGAUGAGUCCUCGGUUCAAGUUAGUACCGUUCAUCCAUCCAUUCCAUCUAAUUAUUAAGUACCUAACCCGCAGUGGGCACUGUUCAAGGUGAAAUGAGUACCAGAUGCAUAAAACAUGGUUCUAGUCUUCCAGCUUUUAUGGUUUAUCAGGGAAACAGACAUGCGAUGAGUAGUCAGAGCAAUGGUUUAAGAAAAAGAAUACAGGCUUUCAGAGAGUUCUACAGGAAAUCCAAAGAGAAAGCUCCUGAUUCUUUUUAACGAGGACUCAAAGAAAUCUCUGGAGACGAUUUGAACAUGAAUUAACCUCAAAGAAAGAGUAAGAAGCUAGAGGUCAAAGCUAUGCGGGGAAAGGACAUGCCAGGGAAAGAAGGAGAAGAAACGCAUGUGAAGAUUACCCCUAAGCUAACAUCUGCCACCAAUCCUCCUCUUUUUGCUAAGGAAGACUGGCCCUGAGCUAACAUCCAUGCCCAUCUUCCUCUACUUUAUUUGUGGGACACCUGCC
rnacentral:lncRNA from 1 species